GAAAAAUUUGAUUUUAGUUUUUUAAUUUAAUUUAUAUUUUUAUUAUAUACAAAGUUUAAAAAUUAAAUUAUUUAAAUAGUAAUUUAAUUAAUUAUAAUUAUGAGUAAUAAUUAAUUUUAUACAAUAAAAGUAAUUUUGAUAUAGGAAUAAGUAAUAGUAUUGGUAAAAUUUGUGCCAGCAAUCGCGGUUAAACAGAUAAUACAAUUAAAUUUUAUUUGGUAAUAAUAAAUAGAUAAAUUUUUAAUUUAAAAUUAAAUUUAUUAGGUGGAAUUUUUAAAUUUAAAUAUGAUUAAAUAAUUUUUUAUGAAGUUAUGAAAUUUAGGUAUUAAACUAGGAUUAGAUACCCUAUUAUAAUAAAUAUAAAAAAAAAUAUCAGGGGAUUAUUAGUUAUGUUCUUGAAAUUUAAAGAAUUUGGCGGUAUUUUAGUCUUUUCAGAGGAACCUGUUCUGUAAAUGAUAAUCCACGAUUAAUUAUACUUAAUUUAAUAGUUUAUAUAUCGUCGUAGGUGGAAUAUCUUAAAAGAGGUAAAAUAUUCAGAAUUUAUUAUUAUAUAAAGAAAAUCAGAUCAAGGUGUAGCUUAUAGUUGAGUAGAAAUGGGUUACAAUAAAAAAAUUUAAAUGGAUAUAAUAUUUAAAAAUAUUAUUAAAAGUGGAUUUGAAAGUAAUAUAUUUAAUUUAAAAUAUAUGAUUUUAGCUCUAAAAUAUGUACAUAUCGCCCGUCACUUUCAUUGAAGAAUUGAAAAAUGAAAUAAGUCGUAACAUAGUAGAUGUACCGGAAGGUGUAUCUAGUUAGCA
rnacentral:ncRNA from 1 species